CAGCAGCCGCGGUAAUACGGAGGAUGCAAGCGUUAUCCGGAUUCAUUGGGUUUAAAGGGUGCGUAGGCGGGUUAGUAAGUCAGUGGUGAAAGCCUACAGCUUAACUGUAGAAUUGCCAUUGAUACUGCUAGCCUUGAGUGCAGUUGAGGUAGCUGGAAUGUGUGGUGUAGCGGUGAAAUGCUUAGAUAUCACACAGAACACCGAUUGCGAAGGCAGGUUACUAAACUGCAACUGACGCUGAGGCACGAAAGCGUGGGGAGCAAACAGGAUUAGAUACCCUGGUAGUCCACGCCCUAAACGAUGAUAACUCGCUGUUGGCGAUAUACUGCCAGUGGCUAAGCGAAAGCGUUAAGUUAUCCACCUGGGGAGUACGACCGCAAGGUUGAAACUUAAAGGAAUUGGCGGG
rnacentral:rRNA from 1 species